CGGUACCACAUGAUCGGUCAC
rnacentral:siRNA from 1 species